rnacentral:lncRNA from 10 species
GCAAAAUUGAAAAGGAAAAGACAAUAGAAAAUUCUUCCAUUCUGAUCACAGAUAUUACAGAUGUAAGAGAUCACAGGCUCCAGUCAUCUAAGGGUUCUCCAACUAGAAAUAGACCUGGUAUGGCUGAUGCUACUAAUACCUGCCAUGUUCCUUGGGCCUUACCACUGUAGUGCACACUGGCUGGACAUUUGCAUCAUUCCUGAAGGCUUCCUCAAAGCCAAGAAGGGCCACUCUGCCCGACUCACAGCAGACUAGAAGGGCCGAAGAGUUCACGUGUCAGGCAGCAGCCUUCAACCAAUGGGAAUUGAUGUACAAUUGCCCAACUCCCUCCUUCCGUGGCUGGGUUAACUCUGAGGCAAGUGCUUUCCCAGAAUUUCCCCAGGGGAUUAAGUUCCAGUCAUUCACCCUUCGUUGGCUGUUUUCCCUUCCCAAUCUUUUACUCAGCUGCUACUGAAGUUUCAUGCACCUCCAAAAUAAAUUACUUUCAUUCAUGUCCCUGUGUCAGGGACUGCUUCUGGAAGAAACCAAACGAAUGCACCCCGGGUUAGCUUCUAAUUUGCUUCACAGCAGUAAAGGUCAACUUUUCUUUGCAUUACCCAAGAGAAAACUUAGCCAUUACCUCAUCAUGGUGCUUGGAUCCCUAGAACCCUGUCUCUCAUGAAACCCUGAUUCCUUCCUUUCCUUGUCAAGAUCUUUCCUUACCCAGCAUGGAUGACAGUCCAUUCUAUUGAGUACUAAGAAAAGAGAGUUUAGAAACUGUCAGAAAUAUUUUUAUUUCAUUCAAAUUUGUAAUAUUCCGUAGACCAGAAACAGCACACUCUUUGAUCCCAUCCUUGUAUGCCCAAAAUAUCUGAGUUGGAGGAG